AUUGAACGCUGGCGGCAUGCUUUACACAUGCAAGUCGAACGGUAACAGGUUAAGCUGACGAGUGGCGAACGGGUGAGUAAUGCAUCGGAACGUGCCCGGUCGUGGGGGAUAACGCAGCGAAAGCUGCGCUAAUACCGCAUACGAUCUGAGGAUGAAAGCGGGGGACCGUAAGGCCUCGCGCGAUCGGAGCGGCCGAUGUCAGAUUAGGUAGUUGGUGGGGUAAAGGCUCACCAAGCCGACGAUCUGUAGCUGGUCUGAGAGGACGACCAGCCACACUGGGACUGAGACACGGCCCAGACUCCUACGGGAGGCAGCAGUGGGGAAUUUUGGACAAUGGGCGCAAGCCUGAUCCAGCAAUGCCGCGUGCAGGAAGAAGGCCUUCGGGUUGUAAACUGCUUUUGUACGGAGCGAAAAGGUCUUUCCUAAUACGGGAGGCUGAUGACGGUACCGUAAGAAUAAGCACCGGCUAACUACGU
rnacentral:rRNA from 1 species